rnacentral:rRNA from 1 species
AUUGAACGCUGGCGGCAGGCCUAACACAUGCAAGUCGAACGGUAACAGGAAGAAGCUUGCUUCUUUGCUGACGAGUGGCGGACGGGUGAGUAAUGUCUGGGAAACUGCCUGAUGGAGGGGGAUAACUACUGGAAACGGUAGCUAAUACCGCAUAACGUCGCAAGACCAAAGAGGGGGACCUUCGGGCCUCUUGCCAUCGGAUGUGCCCAGAUGGGAUUAGCUAGUAGGUGGGGUAACGGCUCACCUAGGCGACGAUCCCUAGCUGGUCUGAGAGGAUGACCAGCCACACUGAACUGAGACACGGUCCAGACUCCUACGGGAGGCAGCAGUGGGGAAUAUUGCACAAUGGGCGCAAGCCUGAUGCAGCCAUGCCGCGUGUAUGAAGAAGGCCUUCGGGUUGUAAAGUACUUUCAGCGGGGAGGAAGGGAGUAAAGUUAAUACCUUUGCUCAUUGACGUUACCCGCAGAAGAAGCACCGGCUAACUCCGUG